rnacentral:rRNA from 1 species
UACGUAGGUGGCAAGCGUUGUCCGGAUUUACUGGGCGUAAAGAGCGCGCAGGCGGUCGUGCAAGUCGAAUGUGAAAGCCCCCGGCUCAACUGGGGAGGGUCAUUCGAUACUGCUCGACUUGAAGGCGGGAGAGGGAAGCGGAAUUCCCGGUGUAGUGGUGAAAUGCGCAGAUAUCGGGAGGAACACCAGUGGCGAAGGCGGCUUCCUGGCCCGUUCUUGACGCUGAGGCGCGAAAGCUAGGGGAGCAAACGGG